GGAUGUGAGGGCGAUCUGGCCGCGACAUCUGUCACCCCAUAGAUUGCCAGGGUUGAUUGGGCUGAUAUGGCCGGCUAGGCGGGUGUCCCCUUCCUCCCUCACUGCUCCAUGUGUGUCCCUCCUGAAGCUGUGUGCUCAGUCGAAGAGGACGGCCUUCCCUGAAUAGAGACGGACUGGUCUUCGGUCAAGGGUAUGAGUAGCUGCGCUCCCCUGCUAGAACCUGCAAACAAGCUCUCAAGAUUGUAAGAUUGGGAGUGGGGUGGUAGCGCAGCGGGUUAAGCGCAUGUGACACAAAGCGCAAGGACCCGUU
ensembl:misc_RNA 7SK 7SK RNA